rnacentral:tRNA from 1 species
GCCUUCGUGGUGUAGUGGUAAGCACGCUCGACCCGUAACCAUGAGGCCCGUGGUUCGAUUCCCGGCGAAGGAG